rnacentral:rRNA from 1 species
ACUCCUACGGGAGGCAGCAGUGGGGAAUAUUGCACAAUGGGCGCAAGCCUGAUGCAGCCAUGCCGCGUGUAUGAAGAAGGCCUUCGGGUUGUAAAGUACUUUCAGCAGUGAGGAAGGCGGAGUCGUUAAUAGCGGCCUCGUUUGACGUUAGCUGCAGAAGAAGCACCGGCUAACUACGUGCCAGCAGCCGCGGUAAUACGUAGGGGGCAAGCGUUAUCCGGAAUCACUGGGCGUAAAGGGUGCGUAGGCGGCUUAGCAAGCCAGGGGUGAAAGGCAUUGGCUCAACCCAAUGUAAGCCUUUGGAACUGUUAAGCUUGAGUGCAGGAGAGGUAAGUGGAAUUCCUAGUGUAGAGGUGAAAUUCGUAGAUAUUAGGAGGAACACCAGUGGCGAAGGCGACUUACUGGACUGUAACUGACGCUGAUGCACGAAAGCGUAGGGUAGC